GAUGCUAAUACCGGAUAACAACAGAUGAUGCCUAUCAACUGUUUAAAAGAUGGUUCUGCUAUCACUCUUGGAUGGACCUGCGGUGCAUUAGCUAGUUGGUAGGGUAACGGCCUACCAAGGCGAUGAUGCAUAGCCGAGUUGAGAGACUGAUCGGCCACAUUGGGACUGAGACACGGCCCAAACUCCUACGGGAGGCAGCAGG
rnacentral:rRNA from 1 species